AGCGAACGCUGGCGGCCGGCCUAACACAUGCAAGUCGAACGGCUCUUCGGAGCAGUGGCGGACGGGUGAGUAACGGGUGGGAAUGUGCCCUUUGGUACGGAACAACACAGGGAAACCUGUGCUAAUACCGUAUGUGCCCUUCGGGGGAAAGACUUAUCGCCAUUGGAGCAGCCCGCGUUGGAUGAGGUAGUUCGUGAGGUAAAGGCUCACCAAGCCUACGAUCAAUGGCUGGGCUGAGAGGAUGACCAGCCACACUGGCACUGAGACACGGCCCAGCCUCCUCCGGGAGGCAGCAGUAGGGAAUCUUGCGCGAUGGGCGAAAGCCUGUCGCAGCCAUGCCGCGUGUAUGAUGAAGGUCUUAGGAUUGUAAAAGACUUUCACCGGGGAAGAUAAUGACGGUACCCGGAGAAGAAGCCCCGGCUAACUUCGUGCCAGCCGCCGCCGUAAUAC
rnacentral:rRNA from 1 species